rnacentral:rRNA from 1 species
AGAGUUUGAUCCUGGCUCAGGAUGAACGCUAGCUACAGGCUUAACACAUGCAAGUCGAGGGGAAACGACAUCGAAAGCUUGCUUUUGAUGGGCGUCGACCGGCGCACGGGUGAGUAACGCGUAUCCAACCUGCCCACCACUUGGGGAUAACCUUGCGAAAGUAAGACUAAUACCCAAUGACAUCCCACGAAGGCAUCCGAAUGGGAUUAAAGAUUUAUCGGUGAUGGAUGGGGAUGCGUCUGAUUAGCUUGUUGGCGGGGUAACGGCCCACCAAGGCGACGAUCAGUAGGGGUUCUGAGAGGAAGGUCCCCCACAUUGGAACUGAGACACGGUCCAAACUCCUACGGGAGGCAGCAGUGAGGAAUAUUGGUCAAUGGGCGAGAGCCUGAACCAGCCAAGUAGCGUGCAGGAUGACGGCCCUAUGGGUUGUAAACUGCUUUUAUAAGGGAAUAAAGUGAGUCUCGUGAGACUUUUUGCAUGUACCUUAUGAAUAAGGACCGGCUAAUUCCGUGCCAGCAGCCGCGGUAAUACGGAAGGUCCGGGCGUUAUCCGGAUUUAUUGGGUUUAAAGGGAGCGUAGGCCGGAGAUUAAGCGUGUUGUGAAAUGUAGAUGCUCAACAUCUGCACUGCAGCGCGAACUGGUUUCCUUGAGUACGCACAAAGUGGGCGGAAUUCGUGGUGUAGCGGUGAAAUGCUUAGAUAUCACGAAGAACUCCGAUUGCGAAGGCAGCUCACUGGAGCGCAACUGACGCUGAAGCUCGAAAGCGCGGGUAUCGAACAGGAUUAGAUACCCUGGUAGUCCGCGCGGUAAACGAUGGAUGCCCGCUAUUUGCGCAUUAGCGCAAGUGGCCAAGUGAAAACGUUAAGCAUCCCACCUGGGGAGUACGCCGGCAACGGUGAAACUCAAAGGAAUUGACGGGGGCCCGCACAAGCGGAGGAACAUGUGGUUUAA